AUGCUUAUGUGGUGGGAAAGAUGCCAUGACCACAAAAGUGAUUUUCCCAGAGUGAGGCUCAUCUAUUGCAUUUCAGACGUGCUGACCCCUAUGAUUUCCCAAAAUGCAGAAAAGUCGACUGCAUUAAUUUGUAGUAGUGGGGCACUUUGCUCAUGCUCUCCCCUA
ensembl:snRNA U1 U1 spliceosomal RNA